rnacentral:rRNA from 1 species
CCUACGGGGAGCAGCAGUGGGGAAUAUUGCACAAUGGGGGAAACCCUGAUGCAGCCACGCCGCGUGAGUGAAGAAGUAUUUCGGAAUGUAAAGCUCUAACAGCAGGGAAGAAGAUGACGGUAACUGAUUAAGAAGCCACGGCUAACUACGUGCCAGCAGCCGCGGUAAGACGUAGGGGGCACGCGUUAUCCGGAAGUACUGGGUGGAAAGGGAACGCAGACUGCAGUGCAAGACUGAUGUGAAAGCCCCGGGCCCAACCCGGGAACUGAACUGGAAACUGUGCGGCUAGAGUACGGUAGGGGCUGGGGGAAUUCCUGGUGUAGCGGUGAAAGGCGUAGAGAUUGGGAGGAACACCAGUGGCGAAGGCGGCCAGCUGGACAGUAACUGACGUUGAGGUGCGAAAGCGUGGGGAGCAAACAGGAUUAGAUACCCUUGUAGUC